AAUCAACGCUGGCGGCGUGCCUCAGACAUGCAAGUCGAACGAUUAAAGCUCUCUUCGGAGAGUGUAUAGAGUGGCGCACGGGUGAGUAACACGUAAGUAAUCUACCUUUGAGUGGGGAAUAACCCGGGGAAACCCGAGCUAAUACCGCAUAAUGCAGCGGCAUCGCAAGAUGACAGUUGUUAAAGGAGCAAUCCGCUUAAAGAGGAGCUUGCGGCAGAUUAGCUAGUUGGUAAGGUAAUGGCUUACCAAGGCUACGAUCUGUAUCCGGUCUAAGAGGACGGUCGGACACACUGACACUGAAUAACGGGUCAGACUCCUACGGGAGGCAGCAGUCGGGAAUUUUGGGCAAUGGGCGAAAGACCUGACCCAGCAACGCCG
rnacentral:rRNA from 1 species